rnacentral:rRNA from 1 species
GUGUCAGCAGCCGCGGUAAUACGAAGGGGGCUAGCGUUGUUCGGAAUUACUGGGCGUAAAGGGCGCGUAGGCGGUACUUCAAGUCAGGCGUGAAAGCCCCGGGCUCAACCUGGGAACCGCGCUUGAGACUGGAGAACUAGAGUUCGGGAGAGGAUGGUGGAAUUCCCAGUGUAGAGGUGAAAUUCGUAGAUAUUGGGAAGAACACCGAUGGCGAAGGCAGCCAUCUGGACCGACACUGACGCUGAGGCGCGAAAGCGUGGGGAGCAAACAGGAUUAGAUACCCUGGUAGUCCACGCCGUAAACGAUGAGUGCUAGACGUUGGGGUCCUUAGGGCUUCGGUGUCGCAGCUAACGCAUUAAGCACUCCGCCUGGGGAGUACGGCCGCAAGGUUAAAACUCAAAUGAAUUGACGGGG